GGCGGACAUAAGGAGUGUGUGCACCGAAGCUGGGAUGUAUGCGAUCCGGGCACGCAGGAAGACGGUAACAGAAAAGGACUUUCUUGAUGCAGUGAAUAAGGUUAUUAAGGGUUAUCAGAAGUUCAGCGCAACGCCCAAAUACAUGGUCUACAACUAGCAGCACUGCUCCUGUUACUCUUAUCUCGGAAGGAAAUAUCACCGUAGUGUUGGCAUAUGAUUUUCUACCUGGUAAUAUACAUCUUUAUGCAAGCAGGAUCCCUAAUUCCCAGCGACCAAUCAAUGCCUUCUCUUUUCUCAUCCAUAGAUUUAGACUAUGGUGUGCUUUGAGCAAAAGAAAGAUGACAGCACGCCAAUUGAUCUGUUAGUUAUUUUUAUUUCUACGUUCCUUCUGCAGAAUUCAGGCAGUCAGCUGGUUGCAAGUUAAACAAAUGGUUAUCGAGAAACAUUUCUUGUUACUAGUUUAAAUUCUAUCCUGAGGAACUGAAUUAUAUUUGUCUCACUAUUUGUGUUUCUAAGCUCAAAUUUACAUGCAUCACUUAACAGUCCUAGCUCAGCUAUUGAAAACUGUUUCCUUUUUUGUUUGUCAACUAA